AUUGAACGCUGGCGGCAGGCCUAACACAUGCAUGUCGAGCGGAGCGGCGGACGGGUGAGUAAUGCCUAGGAAUCUGCCUGGUAGUGGGGGAUAACGUCCGGCAACGGGCGCUAAUACCGCAUACUAUCAGAUGAGCCUAGGUCGGAUUAGCCAGUUGGUGGGGUAAAGGCUUACCAAGUCGACGAUCCGUAACUGGUCUAAGAGGAUGAUCAGUCAGACUGGAAGUGAGAGACGGUCCAGAUACCUGCAGGAGGCAGCAGGGGGGAAUAUGGGACAAUGGGCGAAAGCCUGAUCCAGCCAUGCCGCGUGUGUGAAGAAGGGCUUCGAAUGGUAAAUCACUUUGAGUGGGGAGGCGUUACCAACAGAAUAAGCGCCGGCUAACUUCGUGCCAGCAGCAGCGGUGGUAC
rnacentral:rRNA from 1 species